rnacentral:piRNA from 1 species
UGUGCUAGCAAUGAGCGAGGCUGCGUGG